rnacentral:misc_RNA from 1 species
GAAAUGCGAUAAGUAAUGUGAAUUGCAGAAUUCAGUGAAUCAUCGAAUCUUUGAACGCACAUUGCGCUCGCCAGUAUUCUGGCGAGCAUGCCUGUUCGAGCGUCAUUUCAACCAUCAAGCUCUGCUUGCGUUGGGGAUCCGCGGCUGCCCGCGGUCCCUCAAAAACAGUGGCGGGCUCGCUAGUCACACCGAGCGUAGUAACUCUACAUCGCUAUGGUCGUGCGGCGGGUUCUUGCUGUAAAACCCCCAAUUUCUAAGGUUGACCUCGGAUCAGGUAGGAAUACCCGCUGAACUUAAGC